AGCUCAAAUUUGAAAUCUGGCCCCCAGGGCCCGAGUUUUUGGCGCGGUGCCUUCCGAGUUCCCUGGAACGGGACGCCAUAGAGGGUGAGAGCCCCGUCUGGUCGGACGCCUAGCCUGUGUAAAGCUCCUUCGACGAGUCGAGUAGUUUGGGAAUGCUGCUCUAAAUGGGAGGUAUAUGUCUUCUAAAGCUAAAUACCGGCCAGAGACCGAUAGCGCACAAGUAGAGUGAUCGAAAGAUGAAAAGCACUUUGAAAAGAGGGUUAAAUAGUACGUGAAAUUGUUGAAAGGGAAGCGCUUGUGACCAGACUUGGGCCCGGUGGAUCAUCCAGCGUUCUCGCUGGUGCACUCCGCCGGGUUCAGGCCAGCAUCAGUUCGCCGCGGGGGAAAAAGGCUUCGGGAACGUGGCUCCUACGGGAGUGUUAUAGCCCGUUGCAUAAUACCCUGGGGCGGACUGAGGUUCGCGCUCCGCAAGGAUGCUGGCGUAAUGGUCAUCAGCGACCCGUCUUG
rnacentral:rRNA from 1 species